CCUACGGGAGGCAGCAGUGGGGAAUAUUGGGCAAUGGGCGCAAGCCUGACCCAGCAACGCCGCGUGAAGGAAGAAGGCUUUCGGGUUGUAAACUUCUUUUGACAGGGAAGAGUAGAAGACGGUACCUGUCGAAUAAGCCACGGCUAACUACGCGCCAGCAGCCGCAGUACUACGUAGGUGGCAGGGGUUUUCCGGAUUUGCUGGGGGUAAAGGGCGUGUAGCCGGGUUGACAAGUCAGAUGUGAAAUCCUGCGGCUUAACCGCAGAACUGCAGUUGAAACUGUUGAUCUUGAGUACUGGAGAGGCAGACGGAAUUCGUAGUGUAGCGGUGAAAUGCGUAGAUAUUAGGAGGAACACCAGUGGCGAAGGCGGUCUGCUGGACAGCAACUGACGGCGAGGCGCGAAAGCGUGGGGAGCAAACAGGAUUAGAUACCCUGGUAGUC
rnacentral:rRNA from 1 species